ACUUAAAUAGCUUAAAUAGAGCAUGACGUUGAAGGUGUUAAGGUGAUAUCUUUUAUCUUUAAGUA
rnacentral:tRNA from 1 species